rnacentral:tRNA from 1 species
GGGCCUCUAGCUCAUGCUUGGUUAGAGCAGCGGACUUAGCAAAGGCUCACCUAAACCGGGCAGCACGGCAUGGUGAGUCAUGAAUGGGUUGCCUUGGGGUAAGUUAGCUCUGCCCCCUGGUAGAACUGCUCAAAUUCGGGGAACCCUCUGUUGCCUUGGCAGCGUGGAAAUCCCGAGCGAAGCUCUCUUGUAGAGAACGUGUAGAGACUGAACGGGCAGGUCGUAAAGACAAGAGACAGUCCAGACCACAAACCCGAAAGGGGCGGUGAAAACCGUAGCUGGUAAGCAUAAUCCGUUGGUGCCGUGUUCGACUCACGGGAGGCCCACCA